GACAGAGGGUGCAAACGUUGUUCGGAAUUACUGGGCGUAAAGCGCGUGUAGGCGGCCCUGCAAGUCGGGUGUGAAAUCCCACGGCUCAACCGUGGAAGUGCACUCGAAACUGCAGGGCUAGAGUCCUGGAGAGGAAGAUGGAAUGCUUGGUGUAGAGGUGAAAUUCGUAGAUAUCAAGCGGAACACCGGUGGCGAAGGCGGCCUUGACUGGACAGUGACUGACGCUGAGACGCGAAAGCGUGGGGAGCAACAGG
rnacentral:rRNA from 1 species